GCAGUCGAACGAACUCUGGUAUUGAUUGGUGCUUGCAUCAUGAUUUACAUUUGAGUGAGUGGCGAACUGGUGAGUAACACGUGGGAAACCUGCCCAGAAGCGGGGGAUAACACCUGGAAACAGAUGCUAAUACCGCAUAACAACUUGGACCGCAUGGUCCGAGUUUGAAAGAUGGCUUCGGCUAUCACUUUUGGAUGGUCCCGCGGCGUAUUAGCUAGAUGGUGGGGUAACGGCUCACCAUGGCAAUGAUACGUAGCCGACCUGAGAGGGUAAUCGGCCACAUUGGGACUGAGACACGGCCCAAACUCCUACGGGAGGCAGCAGUAGGGAAUCUUCCACAAUGGACGAAAGUCUGAUGGAGCAACGCCGCGUGAGUGAAGAAGGGUUUCGGCUCGUAAAACUCUGUUGUUAAAGAAGAACAUAUCUGAGAGUAACUGUUCAGGUAUUGACGGUAUUUAACCAGAAAGCCACGGCUAACUACGUGCCAGCAGCCGCGGUAAUACGUAGGUGGCAAGCGUUGUCCGGAUUUAUUGGGCGUAAAGCGAGCGCAGGCGGUUUUUUAAGUCUGAUGUGAAAGCCUUCGGCUCAACCGAAGAAGUGCAUCGGAAACUGGGAAACUUGAGUGCAGAAGAGGACAGUGGAACUCCAUGUGUAGCGGUGAAAUGCGUAGAUAUAUGGAAGAACACCAGUGGCGAAAGCGGCUGUCUGGUCUGUAACUGACGCUGAGGCUCGAAAGUAUGGGUAGCAAACAGGAUUAGAUACCCUGGUAGUCCAUACCGUAACGAUGAUGCUAGUGUUGGAGGGUUUCCGCCUUCAGUGCUGCAGCUACGCAUA
rnacentral:rRNA from 2 species